UCCCCCCGCCCCGGGCAGGGCGGGCUGCGGCUCCCGGGCCGCCGCCUCUCCCCCGAGUGCAACACCAGCCCCUCCGCCGCUGCCAGGGCGAUGGUGGUGAUCCUGCCUAAAGAGAGGGAGCGGAAUGACCUGCCUGCAGACAAAUGCGUGAAGCGGACGUCCCUCGGCCGCUGGAAUAUCGCUGUCUGUCCUUACAUAUAAAGAAGCACCGCGAGCCACCUCACUCCUCCAGGCAAGCCCUUAGCAAAGGAGCGACGAGAGCGCCCGGCGGAAUCCGCAGCGGCAGCAAGGGCACCGGGAGGGCUUCCCUCCUUCCCCGCGGUGACUCUCCAGGUGGGCCCCUCUUCUGAUAUGUGAUCUACAGCGAGCUACUCUGAAUCGUACGAUGACAAUGUUAUCACUGCCACAUCUCUGGGAACCAGUUAUUCAUAAGUAUACGGACUGUCUACUUACGAAGCUGAGAGUGAGGUAAAAACUUUGAUGAAGCCUCUGUUGUGUGAGGUGG